rnacentral:lncRNA from 1 species
CUUUGUUUGAUGCUUAGUUUAUGCCUGGUGCUUCGUGCGGUUUCUUUCCUCGUUCGUCACCGGUAAGAUUAGCUUUGCUCCACCACCGGUACGUGCCAAAAGAGCACCCCCGGGACACGGUCUCUCCGCGGGAAAGUUACCACUAAUUUAACCUCGCCAUUUGCACACUUGAGUGUAGCUAAUUAAUUAGCUAGCCACCAAGGGGCGCAUGCAUUUGAAGGCGGAGGAAAUUCACCAUGGCGUCCACUCGGUUUGUUUAGUUACCCCUAGUGGACGGAUGUCUGAAAGAAAAUUUUACCCCAAGACAAGUGGACGGGGAGAGGGAUCGGAUGCUUCCUUUCGCAUUCUCGAUUAGAUGGUGUCUCGGGUAUAGCUGAUCACUGUUAAGAAUUUAAGAUGCUUUCGUAUUGAUAGAUCCUGUUUCCUGCCUCCUACGGAGUAUAUUGUUGUUUCAUCCUACUUCGAUCUAUGCACCCACUCAUUGCAAAUUUGAUCAUAUAUGAUCAAAUCCUUCCUAAAAACAUGUUUAUGCAUCUUAAAAAGCAAAAGAAAAAAACAAUUAAUUCAAACGUCCGCACCAGUGUCCAUUGGCCACUCCGGCGGG